rnacentral:rRNA from 1 species
GACGAACGCUGGCGGCGUGCUUAACACAUGCAAGUCGAACGGUAAGGCUCCAGCUUGCUGGGGUACACGAGUGGCGAACGGGUGAGUAACACGUGGGUGACCUGCCCUGCACUUCGGGAUAAGCCUGGGAAACUGGGUCUAAUACCGGAUAGGACCGCACCGUGAGGGUGUGGUGGAAAGUUUUUUCGGUGUGGGAUGGGCCCGCGGCCUAUCAGCUUGUUGGUGGGGUAAUGGCCUACCAAGGCGGCGACGGGUAGCCGGCCUGAGAGGGUGGACGGCCACAUUGGGACUGAGACACGGCCCAGACUCCUACGGGAGGCAGCAGUGGGGAAUAUUGCACAAUGGGCGGAAGCCUGAUGCAGCGACGCCGCGUGGGGGAUGACGGCCUUCGGGUUGUAAACUCCUUUCACCAUCGACGAAGGGUUUCUGACGGUAGAUGGAGAAGAAGCACCGGCUAACUACGUGCCAGCAGCCGCGGUAAUACGUAGGGUGCGAGCGUUGUCCGGAAUUACUGGGCGUAAAGAGCUCGUAGGUGGUUUGUCGCGUCGUCUGUGAAAUUCCGGGGCUUAACUCCGGGCGUGCAGGCGAUACGGGCAUAACUUGAGUACUGUAGGGGAGACUGGAAUUCCUGGUGUAGCGGUGAAAUGCGCAGAUAUCAGGAGGAACACCGGUGGCGAAGGCGGGUCUCUGGGCAGUAACUGACGCUGAGGAGCGAAAGCAUGGGGAGCGAACAGGAUUAGAUACCCUGGUAGUCCAUGCCGUAAACGGUGGGCGCUAGGUGUGGGUUUCCUUCCACGGGAUCCGUGCCGUAGCUAACGCAUUAAGCGCCCCGCCUGGGGAGUACGGCCGCAAGGCUAAAACUCAAAGGAAUUGACGGGGGCCCGCACAAGCGGCGGAGCAUGUGGAUUAAUUCGAUGCAACGCGAAGAACCUUACCUGGGCUUGACAUAUACAGGAUCGCGCCAGAGAUGGUGUUUCCCUUGUGGCUUGUAUACAGGUGGUGCAUGGUUGUCGUCAGCUCGUGUCGUGAGAUGCUGGGCUAAGUCCCGCAACGAGCGCAACCCUUGUCUUAUGUUGCCAGCACGUUGUGGUGGGGACUCGUAAGAAACUGCCGGGGUUAACUCGGAGGAAGGCGGGGAUGACGUCAAAUCAUCAUGCCCCUUAUGUCCAGGGCUUCACACAUGCUACAAUGGUCGGUACAGUGGGUUGCCAGUCCGUGAGGGCGAGCUAAUCCCGCAAAGCCGGUCUCAGUUCGGAUCGGGGUCUGCAACUCGACCCCGUGAAGUCGGAGUCGCUAGUAAUCGCAGAUCAGCAACGCUGCGGUGAAUACGUUCCCGGGCCU